CCUCGCCGCGCUCCCCUUGGCGGCGCUUCCCCGUUCCGCAAAGCUCCAGCGCUGGGGCCGUGUCCUUUCCUCCUGUGGUGGCGGGGGGAGGGCGCUGGGUGGCACGUCCCUGGUGUUGGGGGUUGCUCCGCCAGGCCUAGGAGGCAGGUAGAACCGUCUGGCCGUUUUUUAGCAAAAGCAGCUAGCUCAGGAAGGAGAGGUCAUGCUUGUCUCAAGCACCCGGAGAGCGGGCGGCCACCUGCCGUCCUGGGGACCGGGAGCAGUGGCCCAGGAGGUUGUGUGCAAGUGAUAUUGAGAAGAAACCAUGAAAUUAUCCAGCUGUACUUAUACCAUUAGGGAGUUCUUUCUGGAUCACAGGCUAUCCUCAGUAGGAUUAGAAGGCACACAGGACCUUUCAGGAGCCACUUACCACUUUACAGGAUUAGGG